rnacentral:rRNA from 1 species
UCCUGGCUCAGGAUGAACGCUGGCGGCGUGCCUAACACAUGCAAGUCGAACGAAGCACUUCUGAUCGGAGAUUCGUCGAAGAUUGGAUUUGACUUAGUGGCGGACGGGUGAGUAAUGCGUGAGCAACCUGCCUUUCAGAGGGGGACAACAGUUGGAAACGACUGCUAAUACCGCAUAACGUAUACGGGUGGCAUCAUCUGUAUACCAAAGGAGCAAUCCGCUGAAAGAUGGGCUCACGUCUGAUUAGCUUGUUGUGGGGUAACGGCCCACCAAGGCUGCGAUCAGUAGCCGGACUGAGAGGUUGAACGGCCACAUUGGGACUGAGAUACGGCCCAGACUCCUACGGGAGGCAGCAGUGGGGAAUAUUGGGCAAUGGGCGCAAGCCUGACCCAGCAACGCCGCGUGAAGGAAGAAGGCUUUCGGGUUGUAAACUUCUUUUAUGAGGAACGAAGGACGUGACGGUACCUCAUGAAUAAGCCACGGCUAACUACGUGCC